ensembl:lncRNA
CAUCAUUCUAACAACAACUAUACAUUCUUCCUCCCCUUCCACUCUUACUCUGAAUGACUUAGUCACUGCAUGCUCAGGCUUCCCGUUGCCUGUGGGGAUUUUGGGGAAUUUGUGAUGACAGCACCUCUCCCUCUGCGGAGGAGUUGCCUUGAAUUUCCAAGGAGAAGAGGCAAAGGAGACGCUCACGAAGGCUGAGCGCGUCCACACGCACGUUUCUUGGUUUUAAUGGGACCUUAGACACUUUGCACUCUCCUCAUCAUGACCGUGACGGCCGUUGGACUUCCUAGCAUGUUCUGAACUACUCUAAGGAUGGUCGGCACAAAGUGCUAAUUAGCACAGAGGAACCAGUUCAGUCCAAAUGGUGGAACAUGAUGAACAUGGCAGUUUCUGGCAUCUUACAAAAACUCUUCUGGAUAUUCCUUAUGGCUAGUUUCAAGCUGUAGAUUGAAACAUGGAAGAUCAGCCCGUGAUGACUUUUGAAGGACAGAGGUCAUCAGCUUUGCAAGAGGCCCCCAAAAUGACUUUCUCAGUAGAGCUUUCAAUGGUAAAUUCAACCAUGGAUAGAAACCUGACCUUAAAAGAUACUUCUGAUUCACUGUCCUCUGUUAUAGAUGAACCUUUAAAAGACCAACCACAAUUUGAGCUGAAGAAUAAAAGUUCAUUAGAGAAGAUCAGUCAAAUUGUACCAGUGCUCGUCAGCAAAGAUGGACCUGGUCUUCAAAUCUCGAAUCAUUGUCAAAAGACAAUGAAAUACAUUGAACAUCAAAUCACUUCCGCUCCAAUAUCAACCUCAAAACAUGAACUAAAUGGCAUUUAUUGUGAACCUGACCUCCAAAUGGAUGCUGAGACCGGAUUCAGCUAUUUGUUGACUCCCUCAGAUAGUCCAGUGACCAACAGCAUUGAUGUAGACUCCUCAAACACCUCAUCUACUACUUAUCGUUUCUCUAAUUUGACAGUCAGACCCAUAUCAGAACCAGCUUACUCUUUUGCAUCCUCUCCAGUGGGACCGUCCCACCUUGAGCACCCUUACUCGGCUCCUUUGCCAGUCACCAAGGGAGCCGAUCUACCCCGAAUCAUCAAACACAAGCCCAGCUCCAUUACCUUUGCAGAUUACGACAGCUUUUUGGGUCUAAUCUCGAACACCCGAGCCAAUGAGAGUUCAGAUGCUUGUGAGACCUCUUCUGAAGAUGAUGACGAUGAUGUGUUUCCCAAGUGCACAGAAUUUCUCCAAAGCUCCAGACAAAACGGUGGUGGACUGGAGAAACAAAGGAGGAAAGGUACCUGUGGACAAACACAUGGAGAAGGAACUUCCAGCACCAAGCUGCCACCCACCAGAAGCAGCAGCUAUGAGGCGGAGGAGGAGAGCAGCAGUACAGAGGAGUCUCCUCAGGUCCUGUCUCCCUGGUCUGAAUCUAUGAUCCAGCUAAUGAAGAGAUUAGAUCAGCUCAAUCUGGACAUAGAAGAAGCUCUCAGCGCCGGCUCUUCCCCCUCCGACACACCCAACACUGCCCGGAGACACACCACUAAUGAUAGAGCAUCCCUGCAGGUCACUCUUGCUUUGUUUCUCAUUAAAUAUAAAGUACGCAGUUUGUUGAUUAGUA